ensembl:snoRNA Y11D7A.22 ncRNA
GGUGAGCGACUUACGAUGCCUGAUCCCGAAAAAUGCAUCAGAAAAUAUGAAAUGGCGCGAGGAGGGUGAGUAAAAAGGCUGGGAAGAUGAACAUCUUGUC